ACAUGAGGAAUAAGCAUGAACAAUACAUGAUGAAGUGGACAGAGAAAUGCAAAGAACCCUGUGAAAGUUAGCCAAUAGUCAGGUUUCAGCAAUAAAAGAGGAAGAAUGUAUCGGAAUCCUGGAUAAUUAAAAAAUUUGUCUUGGAUUGCUCGCCUAGAGUUUAAGCAACAUUGGCAAUGUUUAUGAGUCAGAGAGGACCUAUUGAUUUUUGCUGGUUGGUGACCAGGCAGAUAGCAGUAGUCGGAAUCCUAGACUAUAUUGGCUACAGAAUCACAUGGACAUUAUAUACACACUGACGAUCACAUUGUUACAACCUCUCGAUCUGCCAGCCACGUGCAGCUUCUGAUAACAAUACAGCAUCGGAUCAAAUUCUGUCCACAAGUGAUGCUUCCAUAUUACUUCUCUUUUCCCGAUUGGGAAUAAGCCUGCAAUUUUUUUUCUGGAGUCAUUAGGAUUUUCACACU